UAAUACAUAUAUGUCCUGAUACAUUAUUAUAUAUGGUUAAUAUAUAUAUAUGGGGAAUAUCCAUAUAUGUAAU
rnacentral:tRNA from 1 species